rnacentral:tRNA from 1 species
ACCUGGAUGGCUCAGUUAAGCAUCUGACUUCAGCUCAGGUUAUGAUCUCAUGGUUCGUGGGUUCAAGCCCCACUUCAGGUU